rnacentral:tRNA from 1 species
UCCUCGAUAGCUCAAUGGUAGAGCAUCCGACUGUUAAUCGGACGGUUCUUGGUUCGAGUCCAAGUCGAGGAG